rnacentral:rRNA from 1 species
UACGGAGGAUUCGAGCGUUAUCCGGAUUUAUUGGGUUUAAAGGGAGCGUAGGCGGGUUGUUAAGUCAGUUGUGAAAGUUUGCGGCUCAACCGUAAAAUUGCAGUUGAUACUGGCAUCCUUGAGUACAGUAGAGGUAGGCGGAAUUCGUGGUGUAGCGGUGAAAUGCUUAGAUAUCACGAAGAACUCCGAUUGCGAAGGCAGCCUGCUGGACUGUAACUGACGCUGAUGCUCGAGAGUGUGGGUAUCAAACAGG